ensembl:lncRNA
UUCUCAUUCUUAGCAGCCAGCUGCACUCCACACAGCCCCGUGAAUGAGGACAGGAGGCAUCUCCCUAUCUUUCAUCCUGGUCAGAGUCUCUUCUGCUGCCCACUUCUGAGACACAGCUUUUGGGGAUUUCAAUCUGAAUGAGUGUAACUGACUUUGUCACAGCACUGCUCAAGGACUGCCCCAGAGGUUGCAAUAUGGACGUGGUGGAAAGCAGAGAAAGAGCAGGAAGAGAGACCAGCAUGUAUUGCUGAGUGAUGUGCAGCCUCUGCUUUUGGCUGCUGCCCACGUGAACAGUCUACUUUUGUUUAUAAAAAAAAAAAAAAAAGUAUCAGGUCUGUGUCUCUCCUGUACUGAAGACUCCACGUCUGGGCACAGUUCUCCAGGUGAGGUCUCGCCAGAGUAGAGUAGAGGGGCAGAAUCAUCUCUCCUGCCCUGCUGGCCAUGCUUCUUUUGGUGUUGACCAGAACACAGAUGGCUUUCUAUGCUGUCAGGACACAUUGCUGACUCACAUCCAGCCUGCCAUCCACCAGUGCUCCCCAAGUACUGUCCCCGACCUUGUAAUUUCUCUAUAUGCCUGUCAUGACUAAACAUAGAACUCCAGCUUAAGGCAAGUUUCGCUUGUUUUUCAUCUCAAACUGAGCUUUGUUCAGAAGCUAAAGGAAUGGCCAGUCUAUCCUGGUGCCUUUACCUAGAUACAGAGGAAAAUAUGAAGUAAAUCAUGAUGAAGCAAGCAUCAGUACCCUUGUGGACAAUGAUAGGGCUCUUUUCUAAAGGUGUCACUGAUGAGUUGUUCCAUCCAAACUAGGGUGAGAGUCACACAGAAACCAUCGCAGUGUGACCUGGGAUACUGGGAUAUCUUUUUUUCCCCCUAUAGCUUUGCUGAUUGCCUGGAUAAGCCCAGCACAUUGUAGUGCUGCCUCAGUGUAAAUCCAUGCAAAGAAGCAAGGCAGGAGAGUGAAGGGGGAUGGAGAGCUGCUGCUGGAGUCUUUGCUGUGGCAUUAUUUGAUGAUAAGAGCAGUAAGAAAACUCUUUACUCCCCUAGGGCAGCAUUUGUUAGCUGCAAUUCCAUUUGUCAGACUGAGCUUUGGCCUUCUUUUCACUAAAGAAAAUCAUCAUUUCCGAAAGGAAAAUGCCAUAAGUCCACCCUAAGUGAUCUAUGCUUUGAAAACAAUAAAAAUAAAAAUAAAAUAAAAAUAAAAAUAGUGGUGUGUUUCCAGAGAAUAUCUUGUUUAAGAGAUCAGUGACAGAGGUGGGAAAUCGUCCUUCUUGGCUACCUACCCGAAAUGAAGCACGAGCAAGCAGAGGCUAUAUUGCAGUCCAGGAGCUUGUUCUUUAUCCCCUUGGG